ensembl:lncRNA
AAAUCAUAUACUUCAUGUAGUUGUCAAGUUUUUGUACAUUUGAUGUGAUCUUUGGAUUCCAUUUUAGCUUUUUUCUGUAUUUUUUAAGAUUUAUUUAUUUAUGUGUCUUGAUUCAAAACUUUAUUUUGUAAUUUCUUUUUUUUAAAGGUUUAUUUUACUUAUUUGAAAGACAGAGUUACAGAGAGAAGAGGGGCAGAGAGAGAAGUCUUCCAUCCGAUGGUUCACUCCCCAGAUGGCUGCAAUGGCCAGAGCUGUACCAUUCUGAAGCUGGGAACCAGGAGCUUCUUCUGGGUCUCCCAAAUGGCUGCAGGGGCCCACGGACUUGGGCCAUCCUCUACUGCUUUCCCAGGCCAUAGCAGAGAUCUGGAUCAGAAGAGGAGAAGCUGGGACUAGAACCUGCACCCAUAUGAGAUGCCAGCACUUCAGGCCAAGGCAUUAACCUGCUGUGCCACACGCUGGCCCUUUUCUCUGUAUUUGUGUUAAGCACUAUUUAUUAAAAAUUCCAUAGAUAUAACCGAUGGACUUACAGUGCCAUCUAUUUAUGAGUGCCAUCUACUACAGCUAAUGGUCUUAAUGGCUUUCUCAGGUAACCAAUGACCCAGCUUCUUCAAGGCUUCCACAUUUAAGUUGUGCAUCAGCUGUCAUUUUGACCUCAGGCUGAUAGAAUGGUGUACUGAUGGUCACUGUGGCUGGAUGAGAAAAAACAGUGAUUUUCUGUGAUUUUCUCAAAUGUGACAAAAUUUUCUUCCACUGUAUCUGGAAAGAGUCAUGUGGCCUUGUCUGCAUUUUUCAGUAUGGGAAUGGGGAUGUAAGAUCCUCUCACAGGAAACAACACUGAAGAUGAGUGGUCCCUGGUCAUCACAUGCUGGAAUGUCACUUCUCCCACAGCUGCUCUCAUGGAGAAGAAAAUCUGUUCCACUUACAGGAUACUUAAGUCCAGCAGUGGAGGAAGCAUAAUUGAAAGAGCCCACAACUGAGAUCAUGGCAUAAAGACCCUUGCUUCCAUGUGAGAAUGAUUGAGAAAACUGUCUUCAUUGCAUAAAAGUCAUCAUGAAGAGGAUAAGGGACCUCUGCAUCUCCAAGUGUAUUUCUACCUCCCAGCUGUGAACACAGAAUAGGGCAUCCAUUGAUUAAACAAUGAUUCCAUACUUCCAUGUGGUGCUUCUCUGCUUACCAUUGCCUGCUGAAAUCUUUUUGUUCCUAUGUAUUUUUACCCAGCAUGGUUUGUCUUAAUUUUCUCACUUCUCCCUGACAAUACUCAACAAUUUACACACUGUUCCCUACAUUUACACACUUUCUCUUGAUGUGCAUGAUAAACCUGAUAAAUUGCCCUAAUGAUUUUUAUUAUUCUAUCAUUGUAAAAAUGCUAGUAUCAUGUUCUUUAAUAAGUUUGGCAUAAUACUGAAAAGUGGGUGUUUGCCAUUGAAGACACUGUAUUUGUGCUCACUAGUAUUACCUAGAUUAGGAGUAGUGCUAUCCUCUGAUUAUACCUUCAAUUUGAACUAAAUUCUAAAGCAUGAAUAAAAUUACUGAUAAUGAAGAUGAAGCUGAAGAG